rnacentral:rRNA from 1 species
CCUACGGGGGGCAGCAGUGAGGAAUAUUGGUCAAUGGGCGCGAGCCUGAACCAGCCAAGUAGCGUGAAGGAUGACUGCCCUACGGGUUGUAAACUUCUUUUAUAAAGGAAUAAAGUGAGGCACGUGUGCCUUUUUGUAUGUACUUUAUGAAUAAGGAUCGGCUAACUCCGUGCCAGCAGCCGCGGUAAUACGGAGGAUCCGAGCGUUAUCCGGAUUUAUUGGGUUUAAAGGGAGCGUAGAUGGGUUGUUAAGUCAGCGGUAAAAAUUCGGGGCUCAACCCCGUCCGGCCGUUGAAACUGGGGGCCUUGAGUGGGCGAGAAGAAGGCGGAAUGCGUGGUGUAGCGGUGAAAUGCAUAGAUAUCACGCAGAACCCCGAUUGCGAAGGCAGCCUUCCGGCGCCCGACUGACGCUGAGGCACGAAGGCCAGGGGAGCGAAAGGGAUUAGAUACCCUUGUAGUC